GUUUACGUGUGGACGAGGAUUACAGAGUUCGUCACGCAACGUCAAAGGUAUGUGCCUCUUUUCACGUCACGCUGUGCGCCACGUUAUUGUUUACAUGAGAUGAAUAGUUGGGUUGCGGUCACGUGGUUCUGAUGACGUGCGGAGGCAGCGCGAUUUUUGAGUGGAGGGCGGAAGUAAACAUGGAGGACACUGUGGAGAGUCAGGAGAGCAGCUAUUGUGCAACUUUAGACCCCGUUUCUCGGGAGAGAUAUAAACAGAUAGUUAAAAAAUAUAUCGGACGUGAUCCGUAUUCUUUGAAAAUGUCCGAAUACACCACAGAAGUAAAGGAUUUGCCUACUAUCGAGGCUGUGGAUAUCACCAACUACUUGGUCCUCCAGACUUCUUACUACACUAGGCAGCAAAUGAAAGCUUUCAAGAGUCUGGAGGCGUACAAUUUUUUUUGUCAGCGGGUGGGUCCACAACCUUGGAACAAAACGUCUCCGUGAUGGAUACAGUUUGGUGUUUGCAAGGGUGAGUGUUUGUUCUUAUAUUGCUUUAUCUUAAACACGCUAACAGUUAGCGGUAGCGGCUUUAACGUCAACAAACAUGCCACAUCCUUAGGACUUCGUUAGAGUGACAGUUGUUUGUUUCAAGGUAAACCAUUCCCAGAGGUCUAACGAGACACCUCUGAAGACUUGGGUAAUUGCAAAGGAGGAUGGAGAAGUGAUUGCAGCUCAUUGCAAUUGUAUGGCAGGACUAUCAGAAUCAUGCUCGCACGUUGGAGCUGUUCUUUUUGCAGUUGAAGCUGGGGUGAAAAUGAGAGCGACAUGCACAUCAGAGCAGUGCAAGUGGCUGAUGCCAUCUCAUGUUAAAAAGAUUCCUGCUUGCCCAGUAACUCUGAUUGACUUCUCUUCAGCAAAGUCAAAAAAACGAAAGCUUGAGUGUUCCAUUGAUGGCUGCACAAGUACACAAAAGUUAUGGAUGCAAACAUGAAGCACAAGCCAGAGGAGCAUAUGAGAAGCUUAUGAGCCAGGAGCAUGCAGGCUUCUCAUGUAUGGACAGCGGUCUCUGGCUGAACCCCAAGUGGCCAUACA